CCUACNCGANGCAGCAGUGGGGAAUAUUGGACAAUGGGCGAAAGCCUGAUCCAGCAAUGCCGCGUGAGUGAUGAAGGCCUUAGGGUUGUAAAGCUCUUUUACCAGGGAUGAUAAUGACAGUACCUGGAGAAUAAGCACCGGCUAACUC
rnacentral:rRNA from 1 species